rnacentral:rRNA from 1 species
UACGUAGGGGGCGAGCGUUGUCCGGAAUCAUUGGGCGUAAAGCGCGUGUAGGCGGCUCGAUAAGUCCGGUGUGAAACCUUGGGGCUCAACCCCAAGCCUGCACUGGAUACUGACCGAGCUAGAGUGCGGUAGGGGAGACUGGAAUUCCUGGUGUAGCGGUGAAAUGCGCAGAUAUCAGGAGGAACACCGGUGGCGAAGGCGGGUCUCUGGGCCGUAACUGACGUGCUGAGGAGCGAAAGCGUGGGGAGCGAACAGG